AAAGAAGGUUACAUUUUUCUGGCCCAGUUUUUCGUUGUAGUAAAGUAAUUACGGAAGGAUCUGUUACAGAACUUAAAAAUCGCCGUUACCUUCAAAUUUUUGGAAUAAUUGCAAUUCCCCGGCAAAUUCUAUCCGAUUUAUACUCUUGCUAAUUUAUCUUUUUGGAUGCAUUUGGAGUAACAGAUCACAAUUAUCCUCCUAAAAGUACCAAUUGCCAUUAUCAAGCGCGAAUACUUCAAGAAUUAGUGCAGGUGGUAUUGAGGUGCAAUUGUUGUCUACUCAUUUCGGAACGGCACACCCUUAGGACUAAUUUUGAUUUUGAAGUAUAAAGUAUAAACUGAGACCUCGCUGAGACGUACCUGUACUGUAAAAGGAUUAAGUGAUCGCAGAGCAAGAAGAAAAUGUCACUUCCCCUUUCUUAAAAUGAGUGGAUUCCAAUUAUUUGGCAGGAAAAUUUCAGAAAUGUUUUUAGUAAGUAUUGUAAAUGUUUAGGACAUUUUGAAUUUUUUUUAAGCCUCACUUUCCGCAAUAUAUGCAGUGCAGGUACAGUGGAAGGACUGUACUACGCCUAUUCGAUAGAAACAACCAAUGAAGCUCCGCAAUCGCACUGAAAUUAAGGAGGAAAUUGAAAUACAUGUCCAUUGUUUUCUUAUGGAAACUCGUGUUUCUGUCGAGGUUACAAAAAUGCUAACCAGUGACCAACUUCUUAUGCCGCGUCCUCGAAUGUUACACAUAAGUUUUGUUAAUACCCAAUCAUUUGUAAAACAUGUGUCUUUAGGCAGUUUUAGGUGUAGAAUAAGUUGGAAUAGUUUAAUUUCGAUUUGUAACAUUCAACAUCCUGUAACAGUGGUGCUGUCGAUCGCGAGUGCUUUUCGAGUCGAUCUCGAGAAAUAUUUACGAUUUCCAGAUCAGACCUAUACCUACCUUGACUUAAAGAAAAUGGAUUUUGCGGAAAACUAAAUUCUGCCGCUCACCGAAAAAUAAAGGCGAGAAUAAAGGUACCUAUACAGGGUGUUUUUUUGGGAGCUUUAGUUAAACGUUUCUGGGAAAGUAAAAUA